GUAGAAAAUCAUGUAGAUGUCUAUGUGGUUUGUGAUAUGAUUAACUAUGUACCUUUGACACUAUCAUUUUUAAAAUAAUUCUUACCUUGUUCAAGAUCCAACAAGCAAGCUUUCCAUUGACGUCACACUUAUUAUAAUGACUCUCCUGGAGUCCAUAUUGACGCGUACUUAGAUUUAGCAAAGACAACUUUAUGUUAUUUUCGGACAUACACUGUAAUUUGACAUGGCACAGAUGACGGCAAAUGAGAAGCUUGUAUACAUGUACUUCUGAGCAGAAGAUUGAAAUACAACUAUUUCUUUGUUCUCCUCGUUAGCGGUGACGUGUCCUAAUCUGAUAGCUCCGGCAAACGGCAGUCUGAGUCCUACCGGAGUGAACACAUACCUAGAUGUGGUAACGUUCAGAUGUGACCGGGGAUACGAGCUGUUUGGCAAUACUAGUGCUACUUGCCAGGCGGACGGAGCAUGGAAUGCUAAUGUUCCAGACUGCAAUGCGGUCAAGUGCCCUUCACUCACGCCACCAGUGAACGGAAGUCUGAGUCCCACCGGAGUGAACACCUACUUAGAUGUGGUGACGUUUAGAUGUGACCGGGGAUACGAGCUGUUGGGAAAGACUAGCGCUACAUGCCAGGCAGAUGGAGCCUGGAAUGCUAGUGUUCCAGACUGCAAUGCCGUCAAGUGCCCUUCACUCACGCCUCCAGUGAACGGUAGACUGAGUACCACCGGUGCAAACACCUACUUAGAUGUGGUAACGUUUAGAUGUG